rnacentral:rRNA from 1 species
CGGCAUGCCUAAGACAUGCAAGUCGAACGAGACGACCUUAGGAAAACUGAGUGCUUGCACGAAGUUGGAAUGAGAGUCAUCGUCUAGUGGCAGACGGGUGAGUAACACGUGGGUAACCUACCUAGAAGUUGGGGAUAACAGUUGGAAACGACUGCUAAUACCGAAUAAGAUAUUCGUAUUGAAAGAAGCCCUUAAAGCUUCACUUUUUAGAUGGGCCUAGCGGUCGUAUUAACUAGUUGGUGAGGUAAUGGCUCACCAAGGUAACGAUGCGUAGCCGAACUGAGAGGUUGAACGGCCACACUGGGACUGAGACACGGCCCAGACUCCUACGGGAGACAGCAGUUACGGAAUAUUCGUCAAUGGGGGAAACCCUGAACGAGCAAUGCCGCGUGAGUGAUGAAAGGCCCUAUGGGUUGUAAAACUCUGUUGUAUGGGAAGAACGGCUAUAUUAGGAAAUGAAUAUAGAGUGACGGUACCAUACGAGAAAGCUCCGGCUAACUACGUGCCAGCAGCAGC